GCCUUGCCACGCCCGCUCAGAAACUUAAAGGAAGUUGACGGGGGCCCGCACAAGCGGUGGAGUAUGUGGUUUAAUUCGAUGCAACGCGAAGAACCUUACCUGGUCUUGACAUCCCGGAGACCCUUAGGAAACUAGGGGGUGCUUCCAUCUGGAAGAAUCUGGAGACAGGUGCUGCAUGGCUGUCGUCAGCUCGUGUCGUGAGAUGUUGGGUUAAGUCCCGCAACGAGCGCAACCCUUGCCUUUAGUUGCCAGCAGUUCGGCUGGGCACUCUAAAGGGACUGCCGGUGUUAAACCGGAGGAAGGUGGGGAUGACGUCAAGUCCUCAUGGCCUUUAUGACCAGGGCUACACACGUACUACAAUGGCCGAUACAAAGGGCAGCGACACUGCGAGGUGAAGCCAAUCCCGUAAAAUCGGUCUCAGUCCGGAUUGGAGUCUGCAACUCGACUCCAUGAAGUUGGAAUCGCUAGUAAUCGUGGAUCAGCAUGCCACGGUGAAUACGUUCCCGGGCCUU
rnacentral:rRNA from 1 species